CUGGUGGGCGACCUAGAACUUAAAAGUAUUCCCGCAUUAUACUGGUGGGCGACCUAGAACUUAAAAGUAUUCCUGCAUUAUACUGGUGGGCGACCUAGAACUUAAAUGUAUUCCCGCAUUAUACUGGUGGGCGACCUAGAACUUAAAAGUAUUCCCGCAUUAUACUGGUGGGCGACCUAGAACUUAAAAGUAUUCCCGCAUUAUACUGGUGGGCGACCUAGAACUUAAAAGUAUUCCCGCAUUAUACUGGUGGGCGACCUAGAACUUAAAAGUAUUCCCGCAUUAUACUGGUGGGCGACCUAGAACUUAAAGUAUUGAAAUUGUUUCCCCGUUUUUCCGAGAAAAUUUUCGACAAUUGGCAGAAAAUUUUCUGCCCCGGUUCUUUGGUGAUUUCCCUGGCGUUGUGUUUUGCUGCCCUUAUCAAUCCUUUGUUUUCCUGCAGCAGAUAA
rnacentral:lncRNA from 1 species